rnacentral:rRNA from 1 species
GUGAGGAAUAUUGGUCAAUGGGCGGGAGCCUGAACCAGCCAAGUCGCGUGAAGGAAGAAGGAUCUAUGGUUCGUAAACUUCUUUUGCAGGGGAAUAAAGUGCAGGACGUGUCCUGUUUUGUAUGUACCCUGAGAAUAAGGAUCGGCUAACUCCGUGCCAGCAGCCGCGGUAAUACGGAGGAUCCGAGCGUUAUCCGGAUUUAUUGGGUUUAAAGGGUGCGUAGGUGGUUUGAUAAGUCAGCGGUGAAAGUUUGCAGCUUAACUGUAAAAAUGCCGUUGAAACUGUCGGACUUGAGUGUAAAUGAGGUAGGCGGAAUGCGUGGUGUAGUGGUGAAAUGCAUAGAUAUCACGCAGAACUCCGAUUGCGAAGGCAGCUUACUAAGCUACAACUGACACUGAAGCACGAAAGCGUGGGGAUCAAACAGGAUUAGAAACCCGGGUAGUCC